CCUACGGGAGGCUGCAGUGAGGAAUAUUGGUCAAUGGACGAGAGUCUGAACCAGCCAAGUAGCGUGAAGGAUGACUGCCCUAUGGGUUGUAAACUUCUUUUAUAUGGGAAUAAAAUGUUCCACGUGUGGGAUUUUGUAUGUACCAUAUGAAUAAGGAUCGGCUAACUCCGUGCCAGCAGCCGCGGUAAUACGGAGGAUCCGAGCGUUAUCCGGAUUUAUUGGGUUUAAAGGGUGCGUAGGUGGAUUAUUAAGUCAGUUGUGAAAGUUUGCGGCUCAACCGUAAAAUUGCAGUUGAAACUGGCAGUCUUGAGUACAGUAGAGGUGGGCGGAAUGCGUGGUGUAGCGGUGAAAUGCUUAGAUAUCACGAAGAACUCCGAUUGCGAAGGCAGUUCACUGGACUGCAACUGACACUGAGGCUCGAAAGUGUGGGUAUCAAACAGGAUUAGAUACCCUAGUAGUC
rnacentral:rRNA from 1 species